AAAAAUAUUUAUUUAUUUAUUUCUUAAUGAAAAGAAAGGAAUAUAUAUAUAUAUAUAUAUAUAUAUAUAUAGAGUCCAGCUAUGAUGCUUAUUAAAGCACUAAGUACUUGGUGCUUUUAAAUUUUUUACCGUUAGAUCUAUUCCUCAUAUCAUUUUCAACCAUUAGAUUAUACUAUUCAACCAACCACUCAUUCAACCCUAGGAGGCCCACAUCAUCCUAACCGUAUAUUUCUUAAUCCAAUGACUAAAAAUCUACAAGCACCAAUAACUUGGUACUUUUAAAAGUAUAAGAG
rnacentral:lncRNA from 1 species